UACGAGUGCCCCAAGCGUUAUCCGGAAUCAUUGGGCGUAAAGGGUGUGUAGGUGGUUGUGUUAGUCUUCUGUUAAAUUCUUCGGCUUAACCGGGGGCAUGCGGAGGAAACGGCACAACUAGAGGAUGCGAGAGGUGAACGGAACUCAUGGAGUAGGGGUGAAAUCCGUUGAUAUCAUGGGGAACACCAAAUGCGAAGGCAGUUCACUGGCGCACUCCUGACACUGAGACACGAAAGCGUAGGUAGCGAAUGGG
rnacentral:rRNA from 1 species